CAGUUACUUUUUUGUGUGUCCUUCUUGUCCAAUUAGGACAGCAUACUGUCAGCAGUCAAGGCAAGAGCUCUUCUUACCAAGUGGCUUACUUUUGCUACAAAGAAAGCAAACUCCAUGUGGAGUUUCUUCAAUGCCCAUUAUCUUCUCUGAAGUAGAUUGGUGCUGCCAGGAGCAGACAUUUAACGUUGUCAUAAAAAGAGCCUAUUUAUUAAAACAUCUUGAAUGCCUUAUUCUGUAGAUCUCUAAAGAGUUUGAAGAUAACCUGUGUGUCUAAAAUAUAUCUUUGUUUGACCUUGAAAAUGAAGGAGCAGGACAAACUCCAUUUUGAGAAAGAACUUCAUUUUAGCUGCACUUGACCUAGGGCUGAUCCAGCUUCAGUGAAAAUCAAAAUAAUAUUUCUAAGAAAAACAGGCUGUGCCUGCCACGGUUAAAGUAACCCCACCCGGUGGCCAGUCAAUGGCUAGCAACAAUGCUUACUUAAGAUGUCCUUGUGGGCAUCUGAUAAUUGCUGUUUGGAAACUCCCCUAGACCCAGCCAAUGAAUUUGAAGGUUGCCUUCCCUCACCAAAUUUGUAUCCAAUCAUGUAACACCAAGGCUGUACCCUGCUUAAGACUUUUUCCCUUAAAAACUCCCUGCUUUAGAGGUUCAGGGUCAUUCUCCUCCACCUGUUGCAUCAGAGUGUUGAAUGAUGGUCCACAUUUAAGUUCAUAUUCAGUAAACCCCUCUUGUGUCCUUGCAUUGGAUACCGGCUCUGUGGUAGUCUUGUUUGGGGGAGUCUCUUGAUGCAGUGUGCCAAAUCUAUAACGUGGUCCAGUAACAGUCAGUGUCUGGGACAGUCAGUAAAGGCGUUGGAGGACCAGGACCAUGGGGGUCCAGGAGACAUUUCACACCCUGGAGACGGAUCUCUGCCUACCCCACUGGAAGGACAUGCAAACCACAGCUCAUAAUCAAGGGGUUGAAAUUCACAAGGGAAGGUUGGUUACCUUUUGCACCUCAGAAUGGCUCACUUUUGAUUUCAUCUGGCCCCCGGGAGGGGAGUUUUGAUGCCAGACCCAUUGGGCUGUGGAGAAAUUGUGUUUCAACCCAGAACUGGACAUCCUGAUUAGAUACCCUACAUCAUAACAUGGCGAAGUCUGGUAGAAGAACCUCCCUCUUGGGUUAAAACUUUUCUUCCCCAACAGGUUACAGUACUGGGGGCAGAGAAGAAACUCCCACUGACUGGGGGCCUUUCAGCCCAUCCAGCUCCAGUUUUUCAGGGUGGAAAUACUGAAGAAGAUACUUUCCCUCCCCCUCCUUAUACCCAUACCCCAGCUCCCAGGCCUGCACCAGCAGUGGCCCAAGGAGACCCCCUCCAGAGACCCCACCCAUGGGGAAGGCCCAACCAGGGGCACCAGAAGAUGGAGAGGAAGGACCCCUGAACUGGAUUCUACUGUUCUCUCUUUGAGGGCCACUGGGCCCUCAACUAAGAUAGGAAUCAACCCUUUUAUUACUGGGCCUUUGCCACCAGUGAUCUCUCCAAUUGGAAGUCUCAAAAUUCUCCUUUCUCUGAGAACUCCCAAGGCUUGAUGACUCUCCUCAAAACUGUUCCUUUCACCCACCAUCCCACUUAGGACAAUUGUGUUCUCCAUGGAGGAGUGGGACUGGGUCUAGGUGGGAGCCUGAAAAUUGGUUCUGGGCCCCACAGGGAGCCUACAGCCAACCAGACUCUCAGCGAUGGCCGCAUUCCCUCUAUCUCACCCCAAAUAGUAUUACAACACGGCUGAAGGUAAGAGGAGUCUCCUUGUCUAUCGUCAGACUCUACUGGUGGGUCUCAAAGUGGCCGUGGAUCAGCCCACAAAUUUGAGCAAGGUCUAUGGUGUUAGACAGGGACCAGAUGAAAGCCAAGCUGCAUUUUUGGAAAUGACUACAGGAGGCUUUCAAGAGACAGACACCACAAAAUCCAGAGUCACGGGAAGUGUGGUGGCCUUGGCGUGAGGCUUUGGUAACCAGGCAGCCCCAGGCCUUAGAAGGAAACUGCAGAAACUAGAGCACUUAGGAG